rnacentral:rRNA from 1 species
UAGGGAAUCUUCGGCAAUGGGGGGAACCCUGACCGAGCAACGCCGCGUGAGUGAAGAAGGUUUUCGGAUCGUAAAGCUCUGUUGUUAAGGAAGAACGAGUGUGAGAAUGGAAAGUUCAUACUGUGACGGUACUUAACCAGAAAGGGACGGCUAAUUACGUGCCAGCAGCCGCGGUAAUACGUAAGGUCCGAGCGUUGUCCGGAAUCAUUGGGCGUAAAGGGUACGUAGGCGGGUAAGCAAGUUAGAAGUGAAAUCCUGUAGCUCAACUACAGUAAGCUUUUAAAACUGCUCAUCUUGAGAUAUGGAAGGGAAAGUGGAAUUCCUAGUGUAGCGGUGAAAUGCGCAGAUAUUAGGAGGAAUACCGGUGGCGAAGGCGACUUUCUGGCCAUAAUCUGACGCUGAGGUACGAAAGCGUGGGUAGCAAACAGG